UACGGAGGGUGCAAGCGUUAUCCGGAUUCACUGGGUUUAAAGGGUGCGUAGGUGGGUUGGUAAGUCAGUGGUGAAAUCCCCCGAGCUUAACUUGGGAACUGCCAUUGAUACUAUCAGUCUUGAAUAUUGUGGAGGUUAGCGGAAUAUGUCAUGUAGCGGUGAAAUGCUUAGAUAUGACAUAGAACACCAAUUGCGAAGGCAGCUGGCUACGCAUAUAUUGACACUGAGGCACGAAAGCGUGGGGAUCAAACAGG
rnacentral:rRNA from 1 species